AGUCGAACGAUGAAGCCCAGCUUGCUGGGUGGAUUAGUGGCGAACGGGUGAGUAACACGUGAGUAACCUGCCCUUAACUCUGGGAUAAGCCUGGGAAACUGGGUCUAAUACCGGAUAGGAGCGCCUACCGCAUGGUGGGUGUUGGAAAGAUUUAUCGGUUUUGGAUGGACUCGCGGCCUAUCAGCUUGUUGGUGAGGUAAUGGCUCACCAAGGCGACGACGGGUAGCCGGCCUGAGAGGGUGACCGGCCACACUGGGACUGAGACACGGCCCAGACUCCUACGGGAGGCAGCAGUGGGGAAUAUUGCACAAUGGGCGAAAGCCUGAUGCAGCGACGCCGCGUGAGGGAUGACGGCCUUCGGGUUGUAAACCUCUUUCAGUAGGGAAGAAGCGAAAGUGACGGUACCUGCAGAAGAAGCACCGGCUAACUACGUGCCAGCAGCCGCGGUAAUACGUAGGGUGCGAGCGUUAUCCGGAAUUAUUGGGCGUAAAGAGCUCGUAGGCGGUUUGUCACGUCUGUCGUGAAAGUCCGGGGCUUAACCCCGGAUCUGCGGUGGGUACGGGCAGACUAGAGUGCAGUAGGGGAGACUGGAAUUCCUGGUGUAGCGGUGGAAUGCGCAGAUAUCAGGAGGAACACCGAUGGCGAAGGCAGGUCUCUGGGCUGUAACUGACGCUGAGGAGCGAAAGCAUGGGGAGCGAACAGGAUUAGAUACCCUGGUAGUCCAUGCCGUAAACGUUGGGCACUA
rnacentral:rRNA from 1 species